rnacentral:rRNA from 1 species
AGUGAACGCUGGCGGCAGGCCUAAUACAUGCAAGUCGAACGAACGCACAGUAAGCGUUCGCCUCUAACGGUAGCGACUGACGGAUGGGUAACACAUACAUAACCUACCUCUAAUACUUGGGUGACUUCGUGAAGCCAGAUCUAAUAACACAGAAUAUAUUGAACCGCAGAAUGCAAUAGUUCAAUACGCUUUUCCUGUCACUUAGAGAUGGAGCCGCGCCGGAUUAGCUGGUUGGUAAGGUAACGGCUUACCAAGGCAACGAUGCGUAGCCGACCUGAGAGGGUGAUCGGCCACACUGGAACUGAGACACGGUCCAGACUCCUACGGGAGGCAGCAGUAGGGAAUAUUCCACAAUGGGCGCAAGCCUGAUGGAGCAAUGCCGCGUGAGUGAUGAAGGUCUUCGGAUUGUAAAACUCUGUUAUUAGGGAAGAAAAAAUGCGUAAGUAACCACGCAUGUUCUGACGGUACCCAAUCAGAAAGCAACGGCUAACUUCGUG